rnacentral:guide_RNA from 1 species
AAAACAAAAACAUCACUGAUAUUGACGGAUAUAUGAUGAUAA